GACGAACGCUGGCGGCGUGCCUAAUACAUGCAAGUCGAACGAGAGCGCCCGGUGCUUGCACUGGUCAAUCUAGUGGCGAACGGGUGAGUAACACGUGGGUAACCUGCCCAUCAGAGGGGGAUAACAUCCGGAAACGGAUGCUAAAACCGCAUAGGUCUUCGAACCGCAUGGUUUGAAGAGGAAAAGAGGCGCAAGCUUCUGCUGAUGGAUGGACCCGCGGUGCAUUAGCUAGUUGGUGAGGUAACGGCUCACCAAGGCCGUGAUGCAUAGCCGACCUGAGAGGGUGAUCGGCCACAUUGGGACUGAGACACGGCCCAAACUCCUACGGGAGGCAGCAGUAGGGAAUCUUCCGCAAUGGACGCAAGUCUGACGGAGCAACGCCGCGUGAGUGAAGAAGGUUUUCGGAUCGUAAAACUCUGUUGUUAGAGAAGAACAAGUGCUAGAGUAACUGUUAGCGCCUUGACGGUACCUAACCAGAAAGCCACGGCUAACUACGUG
rnacentral:rRNA from 1 species